GGUACAUGUAGGAACUAGUGAAUCCCUAUCUCAGGGAGAAAUCACUAGACCCCUAACUUAGUGGAAUCCCUAUCUCAGGAAGAGACCACUAGAAACUAAAGUACAAAGAAAAGCCAAGAAACCAAAAAAAAAUAAAAACCUAGAUCUAGCUCCUCAAGGAGGUAAUACAAAGAUCAAUGGCCAUAGCCAAAGACGUGGCUUUAAUUCUUCGAGCUUCACAUAAGCGGGUAAGGUGGACCAUUCCGGUGACGAAUAGGGCAGAUCUGGUGAAGAAAACGCUCAUCAGUUUUGGAGGAGCUUAACCGACAGCGACUGGGGGCGGAGUCAAUGAAGAAUCGUCGAGAUUCAAUUCCAGCCGCGACUCUGCCCUGGCGAAGCAUUCGGACCUGCCGGACCAUGAGGGUGUCCCAAACACCAUCAACGCUUUGGUUCUCGGACUUUUAUUCAGAGUCGUCGGUGUCCAGGUCCACAUUCCUUUUUGGCAUCUGUCCACCCAAACGAGACGCAAGAUUCACUCUCUCGAACGACCAUGAAGAUAUAAUCAAUCGCUCAUUGUCUACUCUGAACUUGGACUACAUCGAUUUCACUCAUUAUCUGCCUCCUUGCAUUUUGACUAUUAUUAUGGAAUGGGAUUGCCCUCCCAUAUGGAACCGAGUGCUUAGACACUCGCUUAAGAACAGGGGUGUUAUCACACCCCCUAACUGUGUGCUACUUGGAUGCAGGAUUAUUGAGCCGGCUAGUUGCCCCAUAAAUUGCAGAUCCUAGGGAAAAAUCUCCACCCCUCCAUUGUGGUCCAUUUUAUAUCUAACUUCAUUGUCUUUUCUUAAUGUCCUAAUGAUUUAUAAGCUUGUAUGAAAUCGAGUGUUCCAUCACUCGCAAAUGUAUGGUUACAUACGUGACCAGGCUCUUGAAGCCCUAUCGAACCAA